GACGAACGCUGGCGGCGUGCUUAACACAUGCAAGUCGAGCGGUGAACUCCGCUUGCGGGGGGAUCAGUGGCGAACGGGUGAGUAACACGUGGGCAACCUGCCCUCAGCUCUGGGAUAACUCCAAGAAAUUGGGGCUAAUACCGGAUAUGACCGCUGACCGCAUGGUCUGGUGGUGGAAAGAUUUAUCGGCUGGGGAUGGGCCCGCGGCCUAUCAGCUUGUUGGUGGGGUAGUGGCCUACCAAGGCGACGACGGGUAGCCGGCCUGAGAGGGUGACCGGCCACACUGGGACUGAGACACGGCCCAGACUCCUACGGGAGGCAGCAGUGGGGAAUAUUGCGCAAUGGGCGAAAGCCUGACGCAGCGACGCCGCGUGGGGGAUGACGGCCUUCGGGUUGUAAACCUCUUUCAGCAGGGACGAAGCGAAAGUGACGGUACCUGCAGAAGAAGCACCGGCCAACUACGUG
rnacentral:rRNA from 1 species